rnacentral:rRNA from 1 species
CUAAGAAUCUUCCGCAAUGGGCGAAAGCCUGACGGAGCGACGCCGCGUGGGUGAAGAAGGCCUAACGGUUGUAAAACCCUUUUCUGCGUGAGGAAUAAGGACAGAAGGGAAUGUCUGUCUGAUGACGGUAGCGCAGGAAUAAGCCCCGGCUAAUUACGUGCCAGCAGCCGCGGUAACACGUAUGGGGCGAGCGUUGUUCGGAAUCAUUGGGCGUAAAGGGCGUGUAGGCGGUUAUGAAAGCCUGGUGUGAAAGACUGCAGCUCAACUGCAGGAGCGCGCUGGGAACUGUGUAACUUGAGUUCUGGAGGGGGAGUUAGAAUUCCAGGUGUAGGGGUGAAAUCUGUAGAUAUCUGGAAGAAUACCGGUGGCGAAGGCGAACUCCUGGCCAAGAACUGACGCUGAGGCGCGAAAGCGUGGGGAGCGAACA